AUUGAACGCUGGCGGCAUGCCUUACACAUGCAAGUCGAACGGUAACGCGGGGCAACCUGGCGACGAGUGGCGAACGGGUGAGUAAUGCAUCGGAACGUGCCCAACAGUGGGGGAUAGCUCGGCGAAAGCCGGAUUAAUACCGCAUACGACCUACGGGUGAAAGCGGGGGAUCGCAAGACCUCGCGCUGAUGGAGCGGCCGAUGUCAGAUUAGGUUGUUGGUGAGGUAAAGGCUCACCAAGCCGACGAUCUGUAGCUGGUCUGAGAGGACGACCAGCCACACUGGGACUGAGACACGGCCCAGACUCGUACGGGAGGCAGCAGUGGGGAAUUUUGGACAAUGGGGGCAACCCUGAUCCAGCCAUGCCGCGUGCGGGAAGAAGGCCUUCGGGUUGUAAACCGCUUUUGUCGGGGAAGAAACGCUCUGGGCUAAUAUCCUGGGGUAAUGACGGUACCCGAAGAAUAAGCACCGGCUAACUACGUGCCAGCCGCCGCAGUAA
rnacentral:rRNA from 1 species